rnacentral:rRNA from 1 species
UCGGGAAUUUUGGGCAAUGGGCGAAAGCCUGACCCAGCAACGCCGCGUGAGGGAUGAAGUAUUUCGGUAUGUAAACCUCGAAAGAAUGGGAAGAAUAAAUGACGGUACCAUUUAUAAGCUCCGGCUAACUACGUGCCAGCAGCCGCGGUAAUACGUAGGGAGCAAGCGUUGUUCGGAUUUACUGGGCGUAAAGGGCGCGUAGGCGGCGCGGUAAGUCACUUGUGAAAUCUCUGAGCUUAACUCAGAACGGCCAAGUGAUACUGCUGUGCUAGAGUGCGGAAGAGGCAACCGGAAUUCUUGGUGUAGCGGUGAAAUGCGUAGAUAUCAAGAGGAACACCUGAGGCGAAGGCGGGUUGCUGGGCCGACACUGACGCUGAUGAGCGAAAGCAUGGGGAGCGAACA